GAGACACCCCCGUGGAGCAGGACUUGCUUCAGUGGGGCUUUUGUGCUCAGAGUCUGCCCCUUGAGUGUGUCACU
rnacentral:pre_miRNA from 1 species